AAAUGAUUUUUUAAAUUUCUAAUCUCCAUUCCACCUUUCCAGCAUGGUGGCAUUGUUACACCCAGUUAAAUGAGGGCAUUGCUUACCUAUAUAUUGGAGAUUUUCUUUACCACAGUUUCUCUAGAAAUAGUUUCACCAGUUUUCAAUUUCUGCUUCUUUCCAUUUUAUGUAUCUAGCGGGAUUUCAAAAAUUAUUUUAAAGCAGCAGCAAAAAAUGUAACAGACGAAGCAGAUUUCUGCUUGUGUGUCAUCAAUUAAGCUAAGAAAGAAUAGUAUAACCAAGGCAUCUUUUCUACAGAUAAUUCUGAUUAUAAGAUGUAUUAAUAAGAAUAUUUAUUAAUAAGAAUAAGAUUUGUCUUAUGAUUAAAUUCCAUACUGUACACAGCUUUAAAAUUUAAAUAUUCUUAGCAUUCUCUUGCCAAAAUUUUCUUUCCAUUUGAGCAGAGCUUUAAUAGAUAAAAAUAUACGCACAUGUA